UGCCGUUCGCAGUCGAUUCAAGCAGUGGUUGUUCUGGUGGUUGCCCAGCGAGUUCCAAGAGAACGCGUGUCGGUUUGAUGCCUCCUGAUUACGUUUCUUGAUCGUUCCUGCAUCUCCGGGGCGCAAGCCCGCAAUUCUUCAUAUGGAACGCAAAAUGAGCACUCAAACCGGUACCGUGAAAUGGUUCAACGACGCCAAGGGCUUCGGCUUCAUCACUCCUGAAGGCGGCGGCGACGACCUGUUCGCCCACUUCUCCGAAAUCCAGAGCAAGGGUUUCAAGAGCCUGGCCGAAAACCAGCGCGUCGAAUUCGAAGUCAAGACCGGCCCGAAGGGCCUGCAGGCGGCCAACAUCCGCCCGCUGUAAUCGAAGCGACGUCGCCGACGUCACUCGAUGCACCCGAAACGCGGCCUUGCGCCGCGUUUUUGCUU
rnacentral:sRNA from 1 species